GACGAACGCUGGCGGCGUGCCUAAUACAUGCAAGUCGAACGCUUUUUCUUUCACCGGAGCUUGCUCCACCGAAAGAAAAGAGUGGCGAACGGGUGAGUAACACGUGGGUAACCUGCCCAUCAGAAGGGGAUAACACUUGGAAACAGGUGCUAAUACCGUAUAACACUAUUUUCCGCAUGGAAGAAAGUUGAAAGGCGCUUUUGCGUCACUGAUGGAUGGACCCGCGGUGCAUUAGCUAGUUGGUGAGGUAACGGCUCACCAAGGCAACGAUGCAUAGCCGACCUGAGAGGGUGAUCGGCCACACUGGGACUGAGACACGGCCCAGACUCCUACGGGAGGCAGCAGUAGGGAAUCUUCGGCAAUGGACGAAAGUCUGACCGAGCAACGCCGCGUGAGUGAAGAAGGUUUUCGGAUCGUAAAAACUCUGUU
rnacentral:rRNA from 1 species